AUGGAACUUUGAAAUUUAGAGCAUUCUCUGUGAACUCUGGAGACCGUCGAUUAAAACUCUCCAGAAGGCAGCUAUACAACAAUCAAGUCUGAAACUGACAAUCACACAACAAUCACUCAGGACACAGAGCAAUUGCUGUCUGUCAGCAGAACUUAUCCAUCCAUCCAUUAUCCAACCCGCUAUAUCCUAACUACAGGGUCAUGGGGAUCUGCUGGAGUCAAUCCCAGUGCAAAGCAGGAAUGUCGUAUAAAAAGUAUUAAAAAAACCACAAGAUUAAAACAUCACUGCGGAGUC